rnacentral:rRNA from 1 species
GUCCACGCCGUAAACGAUGGAUGCUAGCCGUUGGCGGGUUUACUCGUCAGUGGCGCAGCUAACGCAUUAAGCAUCCCGCCUGGGGAGUACGGUCGCAAGAUUAAAACUCAAAGGAAUUGACGGGGGCCCGCACAAGCGGUGGAGCAUGUGGUUCAAUUCGAAGCAACGCGAAGAACCUUACCAACCUUUGACAUGCCUCGUAUGGUCGCUGGAGACAGCUUCCUUCCCGCAAGGGGCGAGAGCACAGGUGCUGCAUGGCUGUCGU